CCCCAAACCCCAUUUAAAUCCCAUUUUUUCCUUUUUUUCCCACAGCUGGGGGGCUCAGCCCCUGUCCCGGGGGCUCCCCCAUUCCUGCCCAAGCAGCCGGGGACCCUCCCGGUGACCUCGGGGGUGCAGCCGCAGGUAAGGAAGGAUUUGAGGGGGUUUUUGUGGGAUUUGGGAUGAUUUUGUGGGAUUUUGGGUGGUUUCUCCCCUUUUUUCUCUUCACAUUUCCCUCUUUUUCCCCUCACAUUUCCCUAUUUUUUCCCCUUACCUUUCCCUACUUUUUCCCCUCACGUUUUCCACCCUUUUCCCCCUCACAUUUCCCACUUUUUAGCCUCACAUUUCCCUCUUUUUUCCCUUCUUUUUUUCCCUCCCUUUUCCCCUUUACAUUUCCCAUCCUUUUUCUCUUCAUCUUUCCCUCUCUUUUUCCCCUCACAUUUCCCUCUCUUUCCCCCUCACAUUUUCCUCCCUUUUCCCCUCACAUUUUCCUCCCUUUUCCCCUUUUCAUUUCCCAUCACUUUUUUCCUCAUUUUUCCCUCUCUUUUUCCCCCUCACGUUUCCCGCCCUUUUUCCCCUCACAUUUCUCACCCGUUUCUCCCCUCACAUUUCCUUCUUUUUCCCCUCAUGUUUCCAACUUUUCCCCCUCACAUUCCCCACCCUUUCCCCUUUACAUUUCCCAUUGUUUUUUUUCCUCAUCUUUCCCAUUUCCCCCUCACAUUUCCCUCUUUUUUCCCGUCACAUUUACCUUCUUUUUCCCCUCACAUUUCCCACCCUUUUCCCCCUUUCAUUUCCAUCACUUUUUUUCCUCAUUUUCCCCCUCACGUUUCCCGCCCUUUUCCCCCUCUCACAUUUCUCAUGCUAUUCCCUUUACAUUUCCCAUCCUUUUUCUCUUCAUCUUUCCCUCUCUUUUUCCCCUCACAUUUUCCACUCUUUUCUCGCCUCACUUUUCCUUUUUCCCUCACAUUUCCCACCCUUUCCCCUUUACAUUUCUCAUUGGGUUUUUUUUCCCCCAUUUUUCCCUCUCUUUCCCCCUCACAUUUCCCUCUCUUUCCCCCUAACAUUUCCCUCCUUUCCCCCUCACA
rnacentral:lncRNA from 1 species